rnacentral:rRNA from 1 species
AUCGAACGCUGGCGGCAGGCUUAACACAUGCAAGUCGAGCGGGCCCUUCGGGUUCAGCGGCGGACGGGUGAGUAACGCGUGGGAACGUGCCUUCUGGUCUGGAAUAACCCUGGGAAACUCGGGCUAAUACCGGAUACGCCCUUUUGGGGAAAGGUUUACUGCCGGAAGAUCGGCCCGCGUCUGAUUAGCUAGUUGGUGGGGUAACGGCCUACCAAGGCGACGAUCAGUAGCUGGUCUGAGAGGAUGAUCAGCCACACUGGGACUGAGACACGGCCCAGACUCCUACGGGAGGCAGCAGUGGGGAAUAUUGGACAAUGGGCGCAAGCCUGAUCCAGCCAUGCCGCGUGAGUGAUGAAGGCCUUAGGGUUGUAAAGCUCUUUUAUCCGGGACGAUAAUGACGGUACCGGAGGAAUAAGCCCCGGCUAACUUCGUG